GAUUGAACGCUGGCGGCAGGCCUAACACAUGCAAGUCGAGCGGAUGAAAGGAGCUUGCUCCUGGAUUCAGCGGCGGACGGGUGAGUAAUGCCUAGGAAUCUGCCUGGUAGUGGGGGACAACGUUUCGAAAGGAACGCUAAUACCGCAUACGUCCUACGGGAGAAAGCAGGGGACCUUCGGGCCUUGCGCUAUCAGAUGAGCCUAGGUCGGAUUAGCUAGUUGGUGAGGUAAUGGCUCACCAAGGCGACGAUCCGUAACUGGUCUGAGAGGAUGAUCAGUCACACUGGAACUGAGACACGGUCCAGACUCCUACGGGAGGCAGCAGUGGGGAAUAUUGGACAAUGGGCGAAAGCCUGAUCCAGCCAUGCCGCGUGUGUGAAGAAGGUCUUCGGAUUGUAAAGCACUUUAAGUUGGGAGGAAGGGCAGUAAAUUAAUACUUUGCUGUUUUGACG
rnacentral:rRNA from 1 species